rnacentral:misc_RNA from 1 species
GAUGAAGAACGUAGCGAAAUGCGAUAAGUAAUGUGAAUUGCAGAAUUCAGUGAAUCAUCGAAUCUUUGAACGCACCUUGCGCUCCUUGGUAUUCCGAGGAGCAUGCCUGUUUGAGUGUCAUUAAUAUAUCAACCUUCUCUUUUUUGAGUUGUUUGGAUGUGGGGGUUUGCUGGCCUCUUAAAUGAUUCAGCUCCCCUGAAAUGCAUUAGCAGAACAACCUGUUCAUUAGCGUGAUAAUUAUCUAUGCUAUUGAAUGUGAGGGCAGUUCAGCUUUCUAACCGUCCUUGACAAUUCAUCAUUAAUGUGACCUCAAAUCAGGUAGGACUACCCGCUGAACUUAAGCAUAUCAAUAAGCGGGAGGA